rnacentral:rRNA from 1 species
GACGAACGCUGGCGGCGUGCCUAAUACAUGCAAGUUGAGCGAUGAAGAUUGGUGCUUGCACCAAUUUGAAGAGCAGCGAACGGGUGAGUAACGCGUGGGGAAUCUGCCUUUGAGCGGGGGACAACAUUUGGAAACGAAUGCUAAUACCGCAUAACAACUUUAAACAUAAGUUUUAAGUUUGAAAGAUGCAAUUGCAUCACUCAAAGAUGAUCCCGCGUUGUAUUAGCUAGUUGGUGAGGUAAAGGCUCACCAAGGCGAUGACACAUAGCCGACCUGAGAGGGUGAUCGGCCACAUUGGGACUGAGACACGGCCCAAACUCCUACGGGAGGCAGCAGUAGGGAAUCUUCGGCAAUGGACGAAAGUCUGGCCGAGCAACGCCGCGUGAGUGAAGAAGGUUUUCGGAUCGUAAAACUCUGUUGGUAGAGAAGAACGUUGGUGAGAGUGGAAAGCUCAUCAAGUGACGGUAACUACCCAGAAAGGGACGGCUAACUACGUG